UUGUCGUAUAUGUCAAUGGUGAUUCACU
rnacentral:piRNA from 1 species